GAUGAACGCUGGCGGCGUGCCUAAUACAUGCAAGUCGAACGCGAGCAGCAAUGCUCGAGUGGCGAACGGGUGAGUAAUACAUAAGUAACCUGCCCUAGACAGGGGGAUAACUGCUGGAAACGGCAGCUAAGACCGCAUAGGUAUGGACACUGCAUGGUGACCAUAUUAAAAGUGCCAAGGCACUGGUAGAGGAUGGACUUAUGGCGCAUUAGCUGGUUGGUGAGGUAACGGCUCACCAAGGCGACGAUGCGUAGCCGACCUGAGAGGGUGACCGGCCACACUGGGACUGAGACACGGCCCAGACUCCUACGGGAGGCACCAGUAGGGAAUUUUCGGCAAUGGGGGGAACCCUGACCGAGCAACGCCGCGUGAAGGAAGAAGGAAUUCGUUCUGUAAACUUCUGUUAUAAAGGAAGAACGGCGGAUAUAGGGAA
rnacentral:rRNA from 1 species